rnacentral:rRNA from 1 species
UACGUAGGGUGCGAGCGUUAAUCGGAAUUACUGGGCGUAAAGCGUGCGCAGGCGGUUUUGUAAGCCAGAUGUGAAAUCCCCGGGCUUAACCUGGGAAUGGCAUUUGGGACUGCAAGGCUGGAGUUUGGCAGAGGAGACUGGAAUUCCUGGUGUAGCAGUGAAAUGCGUAGAUAUCAGGAGGAACACCGAUGGCGAAGGCAGGUUUCUGGGCUGAAACUGACGCUCAUGCACGAAAGCGUGGGGAGCAAACAGG